rnacentral:rRNA from 1 species
AUGUGGGGGGGUUCAUUGAGGACAGAUCACUGGAGGGCAAAAGUGGACUUGCUCCUAAUUAACAUAGCUACAAGUGCUUGUGACUCAGGAGCAGGGUAUGAGCCAUCAACAACCAAAGUCGGGGAGACAAGCAUAUCAGACUUUCGACUUGCUUCAUAUAAGGCAUUGCUGGCAUCUUUUCUUUCAUCUCCUCAUGCCCGGCCACUUUAUUUAGCCCAAGGAACUGAACUCUUCAGAAAAGGGAAGCUAGAGAUAGGCACUACGCUCGCAGAGUUUUGUUCACAUGCUUUGCUGGCUUUGGAUGUUCUUACGCACCCUCGAGCCCUUUCUCUAGAAAAGGCAGGUCCUUUAGUCCCUGGACUCAACCGCAGUGAACCAGAAAAGGCAAUUUUUGGUGCUGGCACAUUUAACUUUUCACCAUCCGAAGGGCAGCGCCAGGUUAUUGCGGAUGAAGAUACUUAUGAUGAUUGGUUGCCAUCCAUCAAGGAUAAUGAACCGACAGAAAAGUCCACUCUUGUAAAAGAAGUUCCGCAAAUUGGUUCACAUACAAUUGCUGAGGCAGUAGAAGAUGUUCCUGCAUGCAACAGGAGUGAUGCCAUUAUGGUGGUUGCGACCACAGAAAAAACCUCCCAGCCAAUGACAGUGGAUAAUCCUUCUAGCUCCAAUGCUGUUUCAAAUCCAAUCUACUCAAGGCCACCUGAAACACAGAAAGCCACAGCUACCCCCUUUCGAGAGGAAAAGCGUGCUGAUCAUGUUGAUUCUCUUCUUCAGAAUAAAAGCUCAGCUGCGGUCAACCUACCAUUCCGCAAUCUGGCAACCUCAGGUGAUAAACCAUCUGACCCAGGUGUUGCUGCUCCGAGCAGCUAUAAAGAUGUCUCUUCAACCCGCUUCAUUCAGCCCAUCAAGGCAGACUUGUCUGAUACAGAGUCAGGAGACUCUAUGCCAGAGAUACAAGACGGCGACCCGGAUUCUGACUAUUGA